rnacentral:lncRNA from 1 species
UCGGAGGGUUUCUUUUUCAGCAGUGGAACUAUUUUCGUCAAUUCAGCGAUCUUCUACUGUGAAGAAUCAGAAUACACGUUGAGAAUACUUGUUUGGGAUUAUCGUUUCUUGGAGUGAGGGGGUUUUCAUUGCGGCGGCUCGUGCGGCGGAGGGUGGUUUGGACAUGGUGGUGCGGCAAUGAGAAUGUGGAUAACGGACCGAAACUAGAAUGGAAAACAUAAAAUUGAAAGCAUGAAACGGGAAGAGAGAGAAAGAAAGAGAACAGUAUGAUAAGAAUGGCGGGUACAUUACUGUUUUUU